rnacentral:rRNA from 1 species
AUGAAGGAAGUGGUAAGAAAGGAGAUACUAAAGCUCCUCGAGGCAAGUAUUAUUUAUCCCGUUGCUGAUAGUGAAUGGGUAAGCCCUGUCCAUUGUGUCCCUAAAAAGGGAGGUAUUACCAUUGUUCCUAAUGAUAAAGAUGAAUUGAUCCCACAAAGAAUUAUUACAGGUUAUAGGAUGGUAAUUGAUUUCUGUAAGUUAAAUAAAGCCACUAAGAAAGAUCAUUACCCUUUACCUUUUAUUGAUCAAAUGCUAGAAAGGCUAUCCAAACACACACAUUUUUGCUUUCUAGAUGGUUAUUCUGGUUUCUCUCAGAUACCUGUGUCAGCGAAGGAUCAAUCUAAAACUACUUUUACUUGCCCUUUUGGUACUUUUGCUUAUAGACGUAUGCCUUUUGGUUUAUGUAAUGCAUCUGCUACCUUUCAAAGAUGCAUGAUGGUUAUAUUCUCUGAUUUUUGUGAAAAGAUUUGUGAGGUAUUCAUGGAUGACUUCUCAGUGUAUGGAUCCUCUUUUGAUGAUUGUUUGAGCAACCUUGAUCGAGUUUUGCAGAGAUGCGAAUACACUAGUCUCGUCCUACAUUGGGAAACGUGUCACUUUAUGGUUAAUGAAGGCAUUGUCUUGGGGCACAAGAUCUCUAAGAGAGGUAUUGAAGUUGAUAAAGCCAAAGUUGAUGCUAUUGAAAAGAUGCCAUGUCCCAAGGACAUAAAAGGUAUAAGAAGUUUCCUUUGUCAUGCCGGUUUUUACAGGAGGUUCAUUAAGGACUUUUCUAAAAUAUCUAGGCCUCUGACUAAUUUGUUGCAAAAAGAUAUUCCUUUUGUCUUUGAUGAUGAUUGUGUAGAAGCAUUUGAAACACUUAAGAAAGCUUUGAUCACUGCACCUAUUAUUCAGCCGCCUGAUUGGAAUUUACCUUUUGAAAUUAUGUGCGAUGCUAGUGAUUAUGCUGUAGGUGCUGUUUUAGGGCAAAGAGUUGAUAAGAAGUUGAAUGUUAUCCAGUAUGCUAGUAAGACUCUUGAUACUGCCCAGAGAAAUUAUGCUACCACUAAAAAAGAGUUCUUAGAAGUUGUGUUUGCAUGUGAUAAGUUUAGACCUUAUAUUGUUGAUUCCAAAGUUACUAUUCACACUGAUCAUGCUACUAUUAAAUAUCUUAUGGAAAAGAAAGAUGCUAAGCCUAGACUCAUUAGAUGGGUUCUCUUGCUCCAAGAAUUUGACUUGCAUAUUAUUGAUAGAAAGGGAGCUAAGAACCCCGUUGCAGACAACUUGUCUAGGUUAGAGAAUGUUCUUGAUGGCCCACUGCCUAUUAAUGAUAGCUUUCUUGAUGAACAAUUAGUGGUCGUCAAUGCUUCUCGUACUACUCCUUGGUAUGCUGAUUAUGCUAAUUACAUUGUUGCUAAAUAUUUACCGCCUAGUUUCACAUACCAGCAAAAGAAAAGGUUCUUUUAUGAUUUAAGACAUUACUUCUGGGAUGAUCCUCACCUUUAUAAAGAAGGAGUAGAUGGUGUUAUUAGACGUUGUGUGCCUGAGCAUGAACAGGAAUAG